UACGUAGGGUGCAAGCGUUAAUCGGAAUUACUGGGCGUAAAGCGUGCGCAGGCGGUUUCGUAAGUCUGAUGUGAAAUUCCCGGGCUUAACCUGGGAAUUGCAUUGGAGACUGCGAGGCUAGAAUCUGGCAGAGGGGGGUAGAAUUCCACGUGUAGCAGUGAAAUGCGUAGAGAUGUGGAGGAACACCGAUGGCGAAGGCAGCCCCCUGGGUCAAGAUUGACGCUCAUGCACGAAAGCGUGGGGAGCAAACAGGG
rnacentral:rRNA from 1 species